rnacentral:rRNA from 1 species
CCUACGUGAGGCAGCAGUGAGGAAUAUUGGUCAAUGUGCGCGAGCCUGAACCAGCCAAGUAGCGUGAAGGAUGACUGCCCUACGGGUUGUAAACUUCUUUUAUAAAGGAAUAAUGUGAUGCACGUGUGCCUUUUUGUAUGUACUUUAUGAAUAAGGCUCGGCUAACUCCGUGCCAGCAGCCGCGGUAAUACGGAGGAUCCGAGCGUUAUACGGAUUUAUUGGGGUUAAAGGGAGCGUAGAUGGGUUGUUAAGUCAGUUGUGAAAGUUUGCGGCUCAACCGUAAAAUUGCAAUUGAUACUGACAGCCUUGAGUACAGUUGAGGUAGGCGGAAUGCGUGGUGUAGCGGUGAAAUGCUUAGAUAUCACGAAGAACUCCGAUUGCGAAGGCAGCUUACUAAACUGCCACUGACAUUGAUGCUCGAAAGUGUGGGUAUCAAACAGGAUUAGAUACCCCAGUAGUC